CCACUCGCUCACGCUCUCCCCUCCGGGAACCGUCCCACAAGACAAGGGCCUGAGGCCCCGCCCCUCACACGCAACAGCGUACGCAGGCACGCUCACGCAAUCAGAGCCACGGGGGGGUGGGGUCGCUCGCGAGCCAGCCCGAAGCCCCGCCCCUGCACAACACGUAGCACGCACGGCCGCGCGCACGCGCAGGGCCUAUUUUGCGCUCCCCCGGGGCCCCACUCCUCAUUCCCCGUAGGAAGUCACGGAGGCGUCUUCUGGCACUGAGGCGUUUGCUAGAUCUGUUCAACCAAACCCAGCCUCCACCCUCCGCAAUUCGUUGCUCUCCUCGGCUUCCACGCCUGCACGUUCCCGUCCCGUUUGGGGUCUUCUCCCCCUAGGACCCUCCCCGUUGUCCCCCGGCUCAGCUGGACUUAGAGCUGGGCUCACCCGCGCUUGCGCACUUGGAGCUCAGGCUGCAACUCCCAGAAGCCUGUGGGGCGCGGCACGGCUCUGGUCGGCCAGACCCAGACGUGAGGUUGAGGAAUCCCGGCCCGCAGUGGCUCCGACCUGUCCGGUCCGUGACGAAGUGACCCGCGAGAGGGGCGGAGGGAUGUUCGUCCAGGCUGGAAUGGAAAUCUCACUUACGCCUUCAUUGAACGAAGAGCCCCAGAAUCCUUUGCGCGCCGCCGUUCCGUCCGUCAGACUACAUUUCCCAGGAGACCCUGCGUGUGGUGACGGGGAGGUGAGGAAUUCAAUCCUGGGAAACAGUCCGACAGAAUAUUCGGAGGAGCUGCUGCCGGUGUGUGAGUUUAGGUGCAGCGCGCGUCUCUCACGAAACAGUACACAGGCAUUCAAGACAACCAGAGAAGUGAUGCAAACUGACGUUGCGUUAUCAGCUCGGCCUUGGAAUUGAAGAACGACCUGGGAAAGAAUUGAAUGAGGAGAUGGGAGGUUCAGAAGCGAGGGUCUUUCUGAUUCUUGUUCCUGCCCAGCUAGAUUUAUUUUCUAUCUAUGGUGAUAGAUCCCAGUUGACAACAGAUUGUUCCCAGCUGGGACCUCCCUUGGAGUGGACGAUCUCCAAUAUCCAGUUGGUUCCUGAAUAGGGAGGGAAAAGAGAGAGUCGUCUUUUUCAAUCUGACUUUUCACUCUAACACUACAUCUUUUUUUUUUUAUGAUAGCUUUAUUGAGAUAUAACUCAUAUACCAUACAAUUUACCCAUAUAAAGUACACAAUUCCAUGGUUUUUAGUAUAGUCAUAGAUAUGUGCAACCAUCACCACCAGUUAAUUUUAGAACAUUUUUAUCACCUCAGAAAGAAACUCAUAAUUCUAGAUGCCAGGAUUUUUAUUGGCAAAAAUCUGUGUCAAACUCCAGAAUUUGCCUAUUCUGGAGAUUUAAUAUUGAUGGAAUCAUAUGCUAUGUGACCUUUUCUGUCUGGUCUCUUGUGUUAAUCAUGUUUUGUAUUUUCUGUAAUUUAUGGUGUUUUGACAUCUUGAGGGGCCUAGCCACCUGGGGAGAGACUGCCCCCUCCAGGGCCAGCUAAUUCUUAGAUAGUAAACAACUUCCCUGAGAAUGUACAUUCCAUAUGCAAACCAAUCCUCAGCCCAUAUUCUCACCCACCUCUCAUACACCAAGCCAAUAUUUUCCCUGUCCUAAAUCAACCCAGGGCCAGGUACCAGAAACAAGAGACCAUCCCUAUAGCCCACAGUCCAUGACAUUAUUCAAACCAGCCAGUCCUUGGAAAACUCAAAAAAGCUCUGGGUCAUGCUUUCCCCUCACUCCUUGCUGCCUCUUGACCAAACCUGGUGCUUCCCUCUGUGGCCCUGCAUAGGGUAGUGUGUCCCCUUCUCUUGUAAAUAAUAAACUCUUCUCA
ensembl:lncRNA